UGGACAGACAUGAAUGUGGUCUUGAUUUUCUAAUCUAACUCCUGGCAAGAAAGUGUAUUUCCAAAAAUG